rnacentral:rRNA from 1 species
CAUGCAAGUCGAGCGGUAAGGCCCCUUCGGGAGUACACGAGCGGCGAACGGGUGAGUAACACGUGGGUGACCUGCCCUCAGCUCUGGGAUAAGCCCGGGAAACUGGGUCUAAUACCGGAUAUGACCUGCUGUUGCAUGACAGUGGGUGGAAAGUUUUUCGGCUGAGGAUGGGCCCGCGGCCUAUCAGCUUGUUGGUGGGGUGAUGGCCUACCAAGGCGACGACGGGUAGCCGGCCUGAGAGGGCGACCGGCCACACUGGGACUGAGAUACGGCCCAGACUCCUACGGGAGGCAGCAGUGGGGAAUAUUGCGCAAUGGGCGAAAGCCUGACGCAGCGACGCCGCGUGGGGGAUGACGGCCUUCGGGUUGUAAACCUCUUUCGACCGGGACGAAGGGAAACUGACGGUACCGGUAGAAGAAGCACCGGCCAACUACGUGCCAGCAGCCGCGGUAAUACGUAGGGUGCGAGCGUUGUCCGGAAUUAUUGGGCGUAAAGAGCUCGUAGGCGGUGUGUCACGUCGGUCGUGAAAACUUGGGGCUCAACCCUGAGCGUGCGGUCGAUACGGGCAUCACUUGAGUUCGGCAGGGGAGACUGGAAUUCCUGGUGUAGCGGUGAAAUGCGCAGAUAUCANGAGGAACACCGGUGGCGAANGCGGGUCUCUGGGCCGAUACUGACGCUGA